GACGAACGCUGGCGGCGUGCUUAACACAUGCAAGUCGAACGGAAAGGCCCUGCUUUUGUGGGGUGCUCGAGUGGCGAACGGGUGAGUAACACGUGAGUAACCUGCCCUUGACUUUGGGAUAACUUCAGGAAACUGGGGCUAAUACCGGAUAGGAGCUCCUGCUGCAUGGUGGGGGUUGGAAAGUUUCGGCGGUUGGGGAUGGACGUGCGGCUUAUCAGCUUGUUGGUGGGGUAGUGGCUUACCAAGGCUUUGACGGGUAGCCGGCCUGAGAGGGUGACCGGCCACAUUGGGACUGAGAUACGGCCCAGACUCCUACGGGAGGCAGCAGUGGGGAAUAUUGCACAAUGGGCGGAAGCCUGAUGCAGCAACGCCGCGUGCGGGAUGACGGCCUUCGGGUUGUAAACCGCUUUCGCCUGUGACGAAGCGUGAGUGACGGUAAUGGGUAAAGAAGCACCGGCUAACUACGUG
rnacentral:rRNA from 1 species